GCAUACUGCAAAUUAUGUUUUAUGUGCUUAAAUGAUAAGGCACCCCAGAUGCUUGAUGUGCUCAGUUGUUUAGGCUUCACACCUUCAAAACAGUUUUUCUGUUUUGGAAUUGAUGGACAUCUUAAUUAUUCUGCAGCUGGAAGUGUUAAUUAUACUGAAGAACAAGCUGAUAAUUCACAUGUACUAAAGGUUCCCACAGUGGUGUUGCCAAGAUGGUGAAAUGCAUUUGGCAGUUCUCCAUGGAUACCUCACAACCAGAACUAUUCUGUAGCCUGAUGAGAGCAGCAAGAACCAGCUGAUGUAAGCAUAGCUGCAACAAAACAGCAAAUUGAAGUACCAUAUUUACUUGUGUAUAAGUUAAUGCUACAUUGAAUUUUUGUGGCUUCUCUGUUAUCUUUAAUUGUUAAAAACCAGCCAUCCUUUCCAUUUUGUUCUUUUGUCCUGACAUUUUACUUGGGCUUUCCUUUAGCAAUUGAUAUUGUCACAGAAGGGAUUAAAGUGGGUGAAUGCUAGUUCUUCCUUUCACUUGUCAAUAAAUCUAAUUAGUAAAUAAAAUUUUAAUGUUUUCCUCUUU